UGUGGACUGGUGGGGUCCCUCAGCCUGGCCUGUGUCCUCUUGCAAUAAAGGACCCAUUGGGAUGUCAGAGAGCCAGUUUGGCCUGAUCCCCACAGGCCAGGCUGAGGGACCCCACCGGUGCACG
rfam:Myotis davidii contig71712, whole genome shotgun sequence.